UUUUUUUACCCUAUUGAUAAAUGGGCUUUGGCAGUUACUAAUCAAUAUUUACUACCUUUUGAAUAUUUGUGGGAUGCUUCACUAGAUGCAGAACAAUUAAUUGUUUCUAGCAUUGGUACUUGCUUAAUCAUUUUUGAUGGCAGCUGGAGAGGAAUAUGAAUGUUCUCCUGGGUAAUGAUUAAGCUUCACAGACCUAUCAAAUCUGUCUUGCCUUUUCACACAAUUAAGCAUGGGAGCUGCUGAAUUUUGGAGCGACUGCAUUAACUAAAAGUCACUAUAAUUGUGGAGGAAUAAUUUGAUCUGUAAUACAAGCAAAUCUGUUCAUUGGAAAGGCAAGUAUAAGGAAAGAGGAAUUUUGUUCUUCAUACAGGUAAAGAAACAUCCUUUCAAACCAGACAUGUCAUCAGGUCAUGAGGACAAUCUUACUAAUUUUGUUGUUUCCCUGUUUCGGGGUUCUU